AAUCAACGCUGGCGGCGUGCCUCAGACAUGCAAGUCGAAACGCGAAAAGUCCCCUUCGGGGGAGUGAGUAGAGUGGCGUCCGGGUGAGUAACACGUAGGUAAUCUACCUUUGGGUGGGGAUAACCCCGAGAAAUCGGGCUAAUACCGCAUAAUGCAGCGGCACCACAUGGUGACAGUUGUUAAAGCGGGGGAUCGCAAGACCUCGCGCCUAAAGAGGAGCCUGCGGCGGAUUAGCAGUUGGUAGGGUAACGGCCUACCAAGGCAACGAUCCGUAGCCGGCCUGAGAGGGCGACCGGCCACACUGGGACUGAGACACGGCCCAGACUCCUACGGGAGGCAGCAGUGGGGAAUCUUGCGCAAUGGGCGAAAGCCUGACGCAGCGACGCCGCGUGAGGGAUGACGGCCU
rnacentral:rRNA from 1 species